GGGAAGCGCUUGCAGCCAGACUUGCUUACAGUUGCUCAUCCGGGCUUUUGCCCGGUGCACUCUUCUGUAGGCAGGCCAGCAUCAGUUUGGGCGGUAGGAUAAAGGUCUCUGUCACGUACCUCUCUUCGGGGAGGCCUUAUAGGGGAGACGACAUACUACCAGCCUGGACUGAGGUCCGCGCAUCUGCUAGGAUGCUGGCGUAAUGGCUGUAAGCGGCCCGUCUUGAAACACGGACCAAGGAGUCUAACAUCUAUGCGAGUGUUUGGGUGUCAAGCCCGAGCGCGUAAUGAAAGUGAACGGAGGUAGGAACCCGCAAGGGUGCACUAUCGACCGAUCCUGAUGUCUUCGGAAGGAUUUGAGUAAGAGCAUGGCUGUUGGGACCCGAAAGAUGGUGAACUAUGCUUGAAUAGGGUGAAGCCAGAGGAAACUCUGGCGGAGGCUCGCAGCGGUUCUGACGUGCAAAUCGAUCGUCAAAUUUGGGCAUAGGGGCGAAAGACUAAUCGAACUAUCUAGUAGCUGGUUCCUGCCGAAGUUUCCCUCAGGAUAGCAGUAACGUAUUCAGUUUUAUGAGGUAAAGCGAAUGAUUAGAGGCCUGGGGGUCGAAAUGACCUUCACCUAUUCUCAAACUUUAAAUAUGUAAGAAGUCCUUGUUACUUAAUUGAACGUGGACAGUUGAAUGAAACGUUAUUAGUGGGCCAUUUUUGGUAAGCAGAACUGGCGAUGCGGGAUGAACCGAACGAGGGGUUAAAGUGCCGGAAUACACGCUCAUCAGACACCACAAAAGGUGUAGUUCAUCUAG
rnacentral:rRNA from 1 species